GCAAGGAUCUCUCAGUUGCUGCCCGACCUACACGAGAGCUGACUGGAUCUCGAGAGGAACAGUCGUAUGCAGCAAAAUUAGAAGCAGCUACAGAGUCCAACUCAGCAGGCCCAGGAGCGGCAGAGUCAGCUGCAGGUAAUGGAUGCCUGGUGCAAAUGGGAGCAGAGAAUUGAAGCACUAAUGGAGUAUAAGCAGCAGAAGUGGAGCUCUCAGAAGCAGUACAAUGUUUAUUACCAGACGGAAGAGAGAUGCUGGCACAUGCAAGUAGAGAAGGAGGCAAAAGAGGCAGAACAAAGACGAGAUUUCUGAGCUACAGGUGGAGCUAGACGGGCCAGAGAUGCUGCUGGAGGAUG